GUUUCCCUCAAUCGCAACUGGCGCCUGGCUAAACCGUUCAUCCGAUUGCGAUGAAUCUUUGGACGUACCGCGAAGGAACUGGUAUUUCUAAGAGCUGAGGUUAUUAGCGAUUAUCUUGGAUUGGAUCCUUCGCCCAACAGCAUAACGCGACCUUUGAGGUUACAGUAAAUUUUCACAAAAAACGUGAAUUAGGUAGAAAUUUGGUGAAGUGUUUUUCAGUUUUUUGUGCCGAAUUGAGGUUCAAAUUUACAAGUCACCCUUACAGCUCCAGGAAAAGAAUGGUCCUGUGGUAAAGGGCGACUAAAAUGGAACUAAAUGAUUCACGGGAUAAGAAAUUCACUCCCAUCAAAAAGGAAAGGGCACACUCUAGUCGUUGAGAAAUCUCUACAAAAGGGUGGACGAACGACUAGUCAACGGCAUAGGAUGCAGAAAUGGAUACUUCGCAUAUUAAGAUUAAUACCGGAACAACAAUAUUAUCCCUUUAACCGGAUUUCCGGGAGGAGAAAUAUACGAAGUGUGCGUCUAUGAAGAAAGAGAGCAAUAGGGCUAGAUUCAGAACGUGGAAUGUUAGAAAGUCAAAAACUAGAAAACUUCUAAAAAGGUAAAUUGGCGGACGUGAAGUGAGAUGGAGUGGAUGUAGAAUAGAAAAAACGGAACAUUUCAUCUCCUGGUACAGUGGAGAUAAAAAAAGGA